GCCGCGGUGGCGGAAUUGGCAGACGCUCACGGCUUAGGACCGUGUUCCGUAAGGAGUGAGGGUUCAAAUCCCUCCCGCGGCA
rnacentral:tRNA from 1 species